ensembl:lncRNA
GUUAGCGGUUAGGGUUAGGGUUUGGGGGUUAGGGUUAGGGUUAGGGGGUUAGGGUUAAGGUUAGGGUUAGGGUUUUAGGGUUAGGGUUAGGGGUCAGGGUAGGCGCUAACCUGUAUGCACUGUCCAUCUAAUGUCGCUCACUCCACUGGGUUUCACCCCCAUGUCAGUCGGUCCAUUCCCACCAUUCUUUUUCUCUUUUGUUUUUUUCUACAGGAACUAUACUGGCACGGGUCGGCCUACGGAACGGCGACCCGGAAAGAGUUCCCUCGGACUCAGUGUGAGAGGACUCUUGGGGAGAUUGGAACCAGGGAUUCUGGGGUGGCGUAGGUAUGCCUUUGCCCGUGUUUGUCCUUAUUGGGAGUUGUAAUUAAUCAAAUAAUGAUUCUUAUGAACAGGCCGACCAGAAGGGAAAAGAACAGUAGAGCGAAUUGCAAACAUGAGGCACG